rnacentral:rRNA from 1 species
UGGAACAGGGCAUCAUAGAGGGUGAGAGUCCGGUAUGUGACUGGUGACCAACCCCAGGUGAAACCCCUUCGACGAGUCGAGUUGUUUGGGAAUGCAGCUCAAAAUGGGUGGUAAAUUUCAUCUAAAGCUAAAUACCGGCCAGAGACCGAUAGCGCACAAGUAGAGUGAUCGAAAGAUGAAAAGCACUUUGGAAAGAGAGUCAAAAAGUACGUGAAAUUGUUGAAAGGGAAGCGCUUGCAACCAGACCUGUCCGCCGGCGAUCAUCCCCCGUUCUUCGGGGGUGCACUCGUUGGUGAGCAGGCCAGCAUCGGUUCGGGCGGUCGGAUAAAGGCCCUGGGAAUGUAGCUCCUUUCGGGGAGUCUUAUAGCCCUCGGUGCAAUGCGGCCAGCUGGGACCGAGGACCGCGCUUCGGCUAGGAUGCUGGCGUAAUGGUUGUCAGCGACCCGUCUUGAAACACGGACCAAGGAGUCUAACAUCUAUGCAAGUGUUUGGGUGUCAAACCCAUACGCGUAAUGAAAGUGAACGGAGGUGAGAACCCUUCAGGGCGCAUCAUCGACCGAUCCAGACGUCUUCGGAUGGAUUUGAGUACGAGCAUAGCUGUUGGGACCCGAAAGAUGGUGAACUAUGCCUGAAUAGGGUGAAGCCAGAGGAAACUCUGGUGGAGGCUCGCAGCGGU